UCUCGAUAGCUUAAAAGUUAACUCGAUUUUGUAUAGAGUUGGAACGUUUGCCUACGUUUAUCACUAGGGGCGAUGUUUCAACUGCAUACAAAUUUCACUUAACUUUUACGUUAUCGA
rnacentral:pre_miRNA from 9 species